GCUGCACCUGUGGCAUAUGGAAAUUUCCAGGCUAGGGGUCAUAGGGGUUGAAUUGGAGCUGCAGCUGAGGCCUAUGCCACAACCACAGCAACACUGGAUCCAAGCCACAUCUGCAAACUACUCUGCAGCUUACAGCAACCUGGAUCCUUAACCCAAUGGGUGAGGCCAGGAAUUGAACUUGCAUCCUCACAGAGACAGUGUCAGGUUCUUAACCUGCUGCGCCACAACAGGAACUCCAGAAAUUUAAGUUAACCAGAGUUUUUCUCUUAAGUACUCCCUCCUUGCUUGGCUUCUGAUGUGGCGAAGUGACAGCUGAUGCAUAGGAAACCAUAAGAUUUGAUUAGCUGGUAAAGGUGGAUGAUGAACAUCCAAGGUAGCUACAAAUAUCUAAUGAUUCUAGUACACUGUGAUCUGUUAAUGUCCAUUGAAUUUCUCUCCAGCACCACUCAUCAACUUUGCUUUUUGUGGUCAGUUUUGUAGGGGAAAAUGCCAAGCAAAGAUCUAUAGUUCUGUUUACCUGGGGUUCCUAAUUUGCAGGUAGACUUGGCUUUGGAAAAGAGUCCCCAAGAGACUAUGACCAGUACAGGUGAAGCUUGCAGUUCUAGACAGGGCUGCUGUAUGUCUGCAUGUGGAUAGUGAAGUUUCUAUUGUAGAUCAUACCAUUUUUGAUAAGAAGAAGCCGAUGCCUUACAUCCUGUAGAUGGUUUGUUUCUAAGGUCAGAUCUGAGGCUGUGAGCCAGUGGUAGAAGCCACGGCCUGUAUUCAAGCUAACGUGCUUGCACUGGCUUCCAGCCAACACCGCCAUGCUCUUGAUAUUUUUUUAUGCCAUAUCCUUUCUAGGAAAUGUUGGGUGUUCCAGAGUGAUCUGGAUCACUGAGAAGACAUUGAACCAUCCUAGUCAAGAUACACAUGAAAUGACAUUUUAGAAAAUCAGACAUUAAAAAGGAGAACUUGAUAAAUCAUCUAAUUCACGACCAAGACUGCAGCAAAAACACCCAAGCUGAUAAGUUGUUGUUGACUGUCUCUGUCACUACAUGUGUGCCUCUGAACACCCUCCCUUACAAUUUUCAGCUUUAUUCUAGAAAGAAGAAACCCUGCUUGAAUUGUAUUUAAAAUAAGAACUGUGAGCUUGUAAAUGAUAUUCUGAGGGAUUCAUCUAAGAGAAAAACCCAUGGAGGAGCUUGGAGGAUCAUUUGACAUGCUCAUACCUUCUGCCCUUUGGACUUGUUUAGUCGUAAUUAUUCUAGCUAAGUUAAAGUUACUGUAUUUGGAGCCCUUGUAGAUAUAGGUUAACAUUUAUUACUCAGCUGAAACUGUCAUUAACAGUUAGUCCUGGAAUCUCAGUGUUUGAGCCCAAGGAAGGUGUAUCUCUUGUUUGGGCAGGGUCCACUGAGUGUCCACAAAAUCCCCCAGGACAGUGGUCCUCCAGAUAGUAAUUUGGUGGUGCAGGCAGAUGGGGGCACCAUUUUUAUUUUUUUAUUUUUAAAAUUGUUUUUAUUAAAAUAUAGUUUAUUUACAAUGUUCCUUCUGUUUCUGCUGGAUAGCAUAGUGACCCAGGCAUACAUAUAUAGACAUUAUUUUUCUCGUAUUAUCUUUCAUCAUGUUCUGUCACAAGUGAUUGGAUAUAAUUCCCUGUGCUAUGCAGUGGAACCUCAUUGUUUAUCCAUUCUAAAUGUAAUAGUUUGCAUCUACCAACCUCAAACUCCCAGUUCAUCCCACUCCCUCCCCCUUGGCAACCACAAGUCUGUUCUCCAGGUCUGUGAGUCUGUUUCUAUUCUAUAGAUAGGUUCAUCUGUGUCAUAUUUUAGAUUCUGGAUAUAAGUGAUAUCAUAUGCUCUUUCUCUUUCUUUACUUCACUUAGUAUGAGAAUCUCUAGUUGUAUCCAUGUUGCUGCAAAUGGCAUUAUUUUGUUCUUUUUUAUGGCUGAAUAGUAUUUUAUUGUAUAUAUGUAUCACACCUUCUUAAUCCAUUCAUCUGUCAUUGGACAUUUAGGCUGUUUCCAUGUCUUGGCUAUUGUGGAGAGUACUGCAGUGAACAUAGGGGUGCAUGUAUUUUUUUUUCAAUGAAUACUUUGUCUGGAUAUAUGCCCAGGAGUAUGAUUUCUGGAUCAUAUGGUAAUUCUACAUUUAGUUUCCUGAGGAACCUCCACACUGUCUUCCAUAGUGCUUGUACCAAUUUACAUUUCCGACAACAGUGUAGGUGGGUUCCCUUCUCUCCAUACCUUCUGCAGCAUUUAUUAUUUGUAGAGUUAUUAAUGAUGGCUCUUCUGAGAGGCGUGAGGUGGAGGGCACCACUUUUAGCUGCAGCAUCAGGAACCAGCAGCCUCCUGGUUCAAGAGGCAGAGGAAGAAAAACACACACAGACUUUUCACUUCUUCACACACAUCUCUGUCCCUUGGCCAGAACCAUUCAAACACUUCCACCCACAGCAAAGGGGCAGGGAUGUUUUACCCUUCCUGUGCUUCUGGAACCAGAUUCAGGUGAGGGCUAGAAAUCACUAUAAUCAUAACCCCAAAGUAAGAUUUUUAAUUCACUCUGGAAAACAGUUUAGCUUUCAUCUUGUAAUUCCUACAUUGCCACAAAGGAAGCAAGAAACGGCACUACAUUUCCUUUUGUUUGUGAUAAACAGGACAGUGGCAGGUGCUUCCAGGUCCGGAUUUAUUGGUUCAGCCAGAGCUACUGCAAUGCUGCAUCCUUCCAGAACACUCAGCAUCUCAGCAGGCCUUCUGAAGAAUCCCAACUGGCUCCCACGCUGAAAGGAAGAAAAGGGAAAAGUAACAUCCCAGCUAGCUCUGGUUGAAAUGGAAAUCUGCUCAAACUGAAAAUAGAACUCUCCUGGGGGUUGUCUUUUAAAAAGAACGGCAGGGCCCGGUAGCUCUGGGUGACAUAUGUUGAAUCAUUUGAAUUUUCUUCCUCUCUGCACAGCUUAGUCAGAAAGUAAAGGGGUUUGGAGCAGUAAAAAAAUAACAGAGAAAAUGGAACUUUAACUCAAAAAGACAGCUCAGGAAUUUCUCCCAAACCAGGGCAGCUAUGGUAUUUGUCAGCCCAGGCUACUUUCCUCUCUCCCUGUCUUGGUCCCGGAAUAUCAUUUUCUAAAACUCUAUUAAAUGACAAUCCUAUAAUAUCCAACGCUAUUAUUGUCCCCCAUCCCUCCUGCUUCAUCUGAGUAUCCUCUCUGGAAAUGCGGAUCUAGUGUUUGCUAUUUGCUUUUUCUAUCUAUAGGACAUUCAAGGUCCUUUUUCAAAGCUCUUAGCUCCCCAAGGCUUUCUCUGCAUGUGCUCUGUGCUGUGCAAUUAUCACUUUGUAAAAUACCAUCCUUUUCUCUAGUAGCUCCUCUAUGUGGCUGAGAACUUAAUCACACAUGGGGCUCGUUCAAUAAGUGUUGCCAAGUCUGUUAAGUCAUGUCUUCCUGGAGAGGUCAAUUGGUCCUUGACACACCGUUUCUCUUUCAGACUCAAGAAUCCCAAGUUGACGUUGCAGUUUCUGUGCUCAAUAGCUGUUUGUUGGUUGGUUGCAUAAUGGUACCCCACCCAUUCCAACUGGGGGUAACAUGGCGUUUCUGAGGCAUGUGUGUUAUACAUGAGGGUGCUUUCUGGUAAUCAGUGAUGGUGUGGUCCCAUCUAUUCCCUUCCAAAUGGCUGCUGAGGCUGAGUCCACAUGGGAGGCCAGGGGCAAAGCAUGCAUUGUGCUGUUCUUUUCCCUCGUUGUGUGGGGACCUCACUGCAUAUCUAUCUCUGGGGCAUUGAAGAGGUCUGGAGAAUGGAUCACCAUUCCCAUUUUUUCAGUCCGUCUUAAAAUAUAGUUAUACUUCCAUGUUCCUUUGCCACAUGAUCUUUCCUCCCAUAAGAAUAGGCAGAAUACCCAUCCCUGUCCUGUUCAUUUUAGGUUCAUAUGACUUGCUUUGGCCAGUAAAGCAUCAGCAGAAACACCAUGGGGCAGAAGGCUUCAAUAUCUUUUGUAGUUAGUUUAGCCUCUUGUGAAGAACUUGUCUGUGGUGUUUAUCUGGUCUCAACAUUAGGAAAACAGGUGGAACAGACAUGAAUGUGUUCUGAAGCUAAUUGUCCAACCUAACCCACUUGAAGCAGCUGAUCCCAAUCUGGAUUUACCAGAACACAGCUGAGCUUAGAGAAGCAUAAGAGAGCACCUUCUUUUAAGCCUCUGAGAUUUGGGGGCGGUUGUUAUAAAGCUUGACCACAGUAAAAAUCUAAGAGAGGGAGAAGCUGGGUGGUGACACAUCUGAGUUCUGAGGUCCUCGCAGAGAACUGGUUGCUGGAUGGGGGAAGGCAUAGAGAAGACGCUGGAAGAAGGCCGUGUCCUCGCUACAAAGACCCCAGACAGUAAGAGAACAUGGUCUCCUGAGAAUGACCAGGUGGGAUGGCUGCCCUUUGACAUUGACUCUUCAAGUGAUACAUCUUCCCUGUUUGCACAUGACCUAAGAAUACAGUGUAAUUGUUCAUAGAAUGUGUUUUAGAGUCCAACUCUCUGGGUUCUCUCCUUGGCUCUUCCACUUAGCUGGCACUGGAAUGUUCUUUGGCCUCUUUUUGUCUCAGUUUUAUCUGGGAAAUGACUAGGAAUAGCAUCUACCUCAUAAAAUCAGUGUGAAGAUUGAAUGUUUUCAUUUGUAUCAAGUGCCUAGAAUAGGACCAGGAAAUUAGUUACAUCCUCAGUGGAGUAUUUAGCUAUCAUUAUCGUUAUUAUU
rnacentral:lncRNA from 1 species